rnacentral:rRNA from 1 species
GGAUUAGAUACCCUAUUAUUUUUGAUGUAAAUUUUUGACUUAAGUAGUAUUAUAUAUUUUUAUUGAAAUUUAAAUAAUUUGGCGGUGAUUUAUUCUUUUUAGAGGAAUCUGUCCUGUGAUUGAUAUUCCACAAUGGACCUUUCUUAAAUUAUUAGUUUAUAUACCGUCGUUUUUGAUUAUUUUUGUAGAUUUAUUAAUUUUCUUUAUUUAUUUAUUUUAAGAUAUUUCAGAUCAAGGUGUAAUUUAUAUUUAAGUAGUGAUGGAUUACAAUAUUUUUUUAAUAAUAUGAAUUAUAUUAUGUAAUAUUUAUAUGAAGGUGGAUUUAAUAGUAAUUAUAUGUAGAUUAUUAUUUUGAAAGUGGUUCUAGGUUGUGUACAUAUUGCCCGUCACUCUCAUUGUCUUUAAAGUGAGAUAAGUC